GCCUUCGUGGUGUAGUGGUGAGAACGCUCCACUCAUAUUCGAGAGUCUGUGGUUCGAGUCUCGGCGAGGGCA
rnacentral:tRNA from 1 species